rnacentral:ncRNA from 2 species
UGAUUAUAGAGAAGAGUGGAGAGAACGGGCUCAGCGAAGCUCUGGCAACCAACCGGACAAUGCCGGGAAAGGUGCCAAUACCCGACCGGAAACGGAAUUAUAAUUA